GAGGGUGGAGCUCGGUGGUAGAGCACGUGCUUAGCAUGCACGAGGUCCUGGGUUCAGUCCCCAGCACCUCCU
rnacentral:tRNA from 1 species